rnacentral:lncRNA from 1 species
CCAAAUCAAUCAGAGCCUCAACUUAGACUAAUUAAGUUUAGACACCAAGCGUACGGUCCAAGUGAGCCUUCUUUAUCAUACUAUCAUUUUCCUAUUCCAAAACUAUACAUAUCUCAGAGAAUUAUUGAGGCCAAAUGAAUAUGAUACAAUAAAAGGUCCAAAACAGCAAAUAUCUACAAGAAAAGCUAAGGAAGGAAAUUGGCACCACAAAUAAUUAAAGAAAACAUCUAAGACAUAUUUGAUAUGAAAAUAAUUGACAAUGAAAUGGACCUCUCAUGGCUUUAUGUGUAACAGAACAAACAACACACAUUUGGAGGCAUUUAAUGAGCUAAAAACAUUUGAUAUUAUUUAACAAGCCAACAAAGAGCAUGGAGUGACGAGAAAACGGACCUCUGUGAACUUAGAAAUUCUUUAAAAAAAUGAAGCUUGAUAACUGAAAUUCAGACAAAAAACUUGCCGGAGACCUCGAUGACCUCGACAAACUGAGCUCAACUUAAGAGAACAACAACAACUAAAGAAGCUGAAGCUGCUAUGUUUUAUAAUAAAAGAGAGCUGGCCGGAGAUGGUGAAACUCCAGCGUAACGCCGGCAAGGCAGUGAACUAGUGGAAAUGCAUUUACAUGGCUUUAGAACUGAUUUUAGGAGUGGGAUGGAGAAGCCACAACUGCUGCAUUUUUUUUAGAUCUGCUGCUGUGUUUUCUGCUAUGUUUGGAGAGCUUCCGGAGGUGAUUUUACUGGGUUUUAGAGCUAUUUCGUGGUUGAUUUUCAUAGCCUUUGGGGUUGAAAUUUGGGCGGUAAUGGGGUGUUUAUGGCUGAUCUUUGAAUGAAGAAGGAGGCUCUGUAUUUUUUUGUAUUCCCCCGUCUCUUUUCUCUAUCCGCUUUCCCGUUUUUCCCUCUGUUUUUGUGUCUCCUUUUUUCAUUUUUCCCUUUUUUUCUUUUUUGUGUGUUUAUGUUUUAUAUAUAUUUGUGAGUGUGUGUAUUUAUGUAUAUGGAUAAGAAUUAUUCUUGUGAGGAUCAUGCCAAAAGUGAGCUGUGACAGGGCCCAAGAAUCCUAUGUACACGUGUGUGAAUUGAUGGUGAGGCACGUGAGAGUGUAUGCUGGUGGUGAGUGUCAAUAUAAUACUCCCUCCAUUUCAAUUUAUGUGAACCUAUUUGUUUUUUGGUCCGUGUCAAAAAGAAUGACCAUUUUCCUUAUUUGGAAACAAUUUACUUUUAUGCAAUGAUUUAUAGCCACAAAAAAUAUAUGUGUCUCAUUUCACACCACAAAUUCAAAAGUCUUCUCUCUUUUCUUAAAUUCCGUGUCCAGUCAAAUGGGUUCACAUAAAUUGAAAUGGAGGGAGUAUGUGUGAAGGAAUAAUCAAAAAAGAAGUGGGGCCUCUUGAAAUUCCCUGAAAAGUGCCUAGAGUAUGAGUGAAAUAUGUGAAAAUAAUAGAAAAACCUAGUGAAAUUAAAGUGCACGGUGUGUGCAAUUUGUGAGACAGUGACGUGAGGGAAGAUAUGGAUAACAUGAUUUUGUUAUUUUGGAUAACAAAGAAUCUUUUCAUGUGCCCAUUCCCUUUAUUUUUCUUGUUGAUUUCUUUUAGAAGGUAACAAAUUAAAUACUAUAAUUAAAUUAAAGUUGCAAGAUAAAGAUAGAUAAAGAUAUUAAUUACCUAAUAUUUAUUGUCUAGAGAAUAUAUAUAUAAUUUUUCUAUCUUUUGUAACAACAAACUAAAACUAACAUCUAAAAGCAUCAAUAUUUUUUGUUGAUUUUUAAUUUUUAUAAAUAAAACCUAUAAAAGGGUGAAACAAAAGCUAAAAUAUCAAGAUUAAACUUAAAAGAUGUUGAAAUGCUAAGAAUGAUGAAAAGAAUUUAAUAUGGUCAAAAAUUAGGUGUUCACAGCUGCCCCUCUUUGCUUGGAAACAUGAAGAGUUUUCGGGCAAAGACAAAGUGAGCCAUGUGACUAAUUUUUGACCAUAUCGUUAUUCAAAAGAGGAAGAAAAAUAAAAGAGAAAAGCGCAACCGAGUCCUGGUUUUGGACAGCCUACAUAUUCCGGGUUAUUAGGGAAUCAGGUCAUGUGUAGUUCAAGGAGCUUUGGUAGAAUGAUGAGUUCGAGAGUCGAGUGAGGUUCCGCCGAGGCUCUGGUCCGUGGUCCUGUUAUUACAUCAAAAUCAAAAAUAAAAUAAAAACUAACUAAGCCUAUCAGCUACGAGUUACAAGAUUCCUAUCUAUGAGUCUUCUGAACCUUGAUCUUGAUUCUGAGUUGGCUCUUUAUGCGGAAUCUGAUAUGGAUCUUGAUGCUUGUUAGCUGCAGGUGCUAGUUCAUUCUUUUCAGCUUCUCAGAUCAGGGCGGGACAUGCAAAGCUUGUGAUUUCAAUCAUGUCUCGAGCAUUCCACAACUUUUCUCUGCUUCUGCACUUUGAGUUCAUUUCUUUUUAUUUUAUUCUGGAUUGAUACUUUUUCUUUUGGUCGUCUCGAACCCUGUGUCUCGAGGUAUAACCUGCUCAAAUACCAAAAUAAACAAACAAACAAAAAUAUUUUGCCCCAGUUUUCACCAUGAAAAUUUCGUGAGUUAUUGUAACAAAAUUCUAAACUACUUGUUUAUUGAAAGCAAUAAAAGUUGGGAUUGUGUAUCCCUGGGAGAAAGAGAUUAGGGAGUGGAGACCCUAUAUCUAAAAUGAAAUUAACUGGGGAUUGGAGGCCUUAAGUUGGAAAGAUUACCAGGUUAUACUGGUAUCAACUAAGGAGUGAGACCCUAUGUUGGGAAAAGAUUAUCAGGUUAUGCUGGCAUCAACUAGUAAGUGGGACCCUAUGCUGGAAAAGAUUACCAGGUUAUGCUGGCAUCCACUAGGGAAUAGGGAGAGGGACCCUGUGUUGGAAAAGAUUAUCGGGUUAUGCUGGCAUCAGCUAGUGUGUACCUAUGCUAAAAUGAACCAAGAAGGAUUUUUUUUUUGUUUUUUUAAAAAAAAAUAAAUUUCAUUUUUUUUUGAGAAAAUCAUUCUUUUAAACAAAUUGCCCCAAUGCUUUAUUUUCAAAGGCAUGAAUAAUGACUUUUUUUAAUCGAGACAUCCUCUGUUCUUUUUUUAUUUUCUUUAAUUUCCUAGGAGAAAAUUCAUUAGACUAGAUUUUUAUAUCAUAGGAGAAAAAUUCAUCAGACUAAGACAUAUAUCCUAGGAGAAAGUUCAUCAGACUAGGUUUUCUAAUUUAUUAUCUUAGGAGAAAGAUUCAUCAGACAAAUAUUUGAUCCUAGGAGAAAAUUCAUCAGACUAGGUUUUCUAUCUUAGGAGAAAAAUUCAUCAGACUAAGACAUCUAUCCUAGAAGAAAGUUUAUCAGACUAGGUCUUCUAUCUUAGAAGAAAAAUUCAUCAGACUAAGAUUUUGAUCCUAGGAGAAAGAUUCAUCGGACUAGGAUUUGUUUUGUUAUCUUAGGAGAAAGAUUCAUCAAACUAAGAUUUCUAUCCUAGGAGAAAGUUCAUUAGACUAGGUCUUCUAUCUUAGGAGAAAAUUUCAUCAGACUAAUAUUUUGAUCCUAGGAGAAAGUUCAUCAUACUAGGUCUUCUAUACUAGGAGAAAGAUCAAUUGGACUAAAAUUUCGAUCCUAGGAGAAAAUUCAUCAGACUAGAUCCUUUUUUGUUAUCUUAGGAGAAAGAUUCACCAUACUAGGAUUUCUAUCAUAGGAGAAAGAUUCAUCAGACUAGGUUUUAUUAUCUUAGGAGAAAGAUUCAUUAGACUAUGAUUUCGAUCCUAGGAGAAAAUUCAUCAAACUAAGUCGUUUUAUUGGGAGGAAAAUCCAUCAGACUAGGAUGUAUUACCCUAGGAGGAAAAAUGUGAAGAUCAAUGGCAAGAUUUUAUGCACACUAUCAAGACAAUAAAGGCAAAUAUUUGAAAAAAUUCCCUUUGUCAUCUCUUCUCCUCUUUUUUUUUUCUCUUUUUCUCUUUUUUCCCUCUUUUUUCCUUCUUUUGAACCACUUUCCUUGCACUACUUUGUUCCUGUUUCAAACAAAGAAAAUUUUGUCAGUUUUAAAAGUGGUGGUCGGUUUGUGGCCUUGAGUUUUGGGCAUCUUGGCUUUUGCUCAAUCAGCUCGAGUCGGUCUCAAGAGACUUCUGCUCUGCAUUAACCCUGAUUGUUUCACACCCAGUACCAUUUGUAUUUAUGGCUCAAUCAGUUUUAUCCCAACUAGAGAUCUCUUCUUAAGUGACCUUUUCUGAUAUCUUGAAUGACUUCUUGCUUUUGAGUAAUUUGUCUGUCAGAAAGAAUCACCAAUUAUCUUUUCUUGCGCCAAGUAGGUUGACAAGAGUCUUUUGGGGAAGCCUUUGAAUGAAUCCUCAAGGUAUAUUGACAGUAACAACUGAGUGUGCUAGCCAAAUUUAAUUUAUGCAACUGAAAAGCUAGUAGCAAAUUUUGAAAUUUUUUCUUGCCUCUUUUGACAAGGACAGACUCAGAGUGAAGGACACAAUGAUGAAAAGAAACAAGUAUUAAUAAGAAAUGCCCCUAUCGGGAUGGAUAGAAGGAAACUUUUUUUUUUCAAUAACUAGCCUUAAUGAUCAUGACAUGCAUUUUGGACUUAACGACCUGAUCUAUCAAACUGAUCUAACCUUUCCUUUUACCAAUCUUAUGACCUUUGAAGUCGGGCUUGUUCGUGCCAAUCUUUUGCAUCAACUUCAUGACUCAUUUUCGUCUAGUGGCCCCGAGGGAUCUUCACUAACAAGUCUUUAUCUUUUGUUCAUCUCUUCUUACCAUCGCCUUACAAUGCCCGUGAGGGUUUUCAUUGGUAAGACUCUCUCAUUUUUUUUUUCUUUCUUGUGUGAGCAACUUGACAGUAUUCUAUGUUGCAUGACAACCGUUGCUCAUUGUGUGCUUCUCUUGGCAUUCUUGAAGGCAUAUUGGGAGGUCUUUAUUUGGAAGGAUUUUGGAUAGGGUUGGAAAGAAAGGACGUCAUGAAGGCUCAAAAAGACUCAAAACAACAGGGGGUUGUAGAUUUACAACUCUUGGAAUCGACUCUUUCAAAAGCAAAAUAAAAUAUUUGCCCCAAUUUCAGAUACUGGGGAUUUUUUGGAUUUUUCUAUUUUCUUUUUUCUUUUUCUUUUUCUUCUAAAUUCUUAUUUGGUUGGAUCGAACCGUGAAAGGCUGCCUACAUAUCCUUUUUUUAAGGAAGCUGGUCGAACGUACUUCAAAUAUCUAACCUAACUAAUUUUUCUUCUUUCUUUUUUUUCUUUUUUUCUAUCUUUUUUUUGUUACUUUUUGUUUUCAAAACAAGUUUCCCCAGCUUCUAUUUUUUAGGGAAUGGACCUUUGACAAUUCUUUUCUUCUUCUUCUUCUUCUUCUUCUUCUUCUUCUUCUUCUUCUUCUUCUUUUUCUUCUUCUUCACUUAGAACUUUCUAAAAGCUGCCCCAGUUUGUACUCUUGGGGCAUGGACCUUUAUUGUUAUUACAUUUUUUUCAUUUUUUUGACUUUUGACUCUAAACUUUAUUCCAAAAGAGGGUGGUCAAAGAAAAUAACACAGACUCAAAGGGGUGACAAAAGGUAUGAAGUGUUUGGGUAGCAGAAAAAGGGUCUCCCAACCUCGAGAACGCUAAACAUAGUAUCUUUUUGCGAUCACAGCAUUAACGAACAUGUCUGUCUUCUUGGUGUGUCUUGGUCACAAGACAGUUUCCAUCGCUUACUUUCCAACAAACUUCAAUUGAUUAAACAUCCUCNNNNNNNNNNNNNAUUUUACUCGACCUUAAUUCCAAAGUAUUUCAACUCUUUAUUCAUCCUCAAAAGUGUUUUUUUCAGUUAUCCAAUUCCAGAUUAAAUCAGUUUCUAUGAUCUGGCCAAAAUUUUCGCAUGCAUGUCAUGUCAUUAGAACUAGCGAGAAAAGAAUUAAGAACAAAAUGACACAAAAAGACAAACUGUAUUUCAUUGAGUAAAGGAUGAAAGGAUUUGAUAACAAGACAAACAACCUAAAAUUUGAGUUACAACCCUAAAACAACUCGGCGAAUGAAAAUAGUAACGAAACAUGCAGACAAGACUCACGCGAACAGAAUAGAGGGAUAGAAGGAUUUGAAUCAAUAAAAGAAAUAGAAUCUGGAUCACAACCUUGAAAUAACCCAGAUAAUAGAAAAAGUAUCAAUACAAACUACUAAGAAGUAUCAAUACAAACUACUAAGAUUCCUUCCUAGUGAGGAGAGAAUGACUUUUCAAUUGCUAAGCUUGACAUUUAGCCACAAAUUUGCUCAUCAGAAUCACCAUGGCCUUCUCCAAUUUCAGUCGACAAGUUCCCAAGAGGAUUCUCAAACUCCAUGUCACCAGGCAUCAUCCCCACAAAGUGCGCAUCAUCACGUGAAGGUAAAGGAUUCUGCGUGAUAUUCUGGGUGUCAGUGUCUUGGAUCACAAUCAGUUUUUCCUGGAUCAUCCUUUCUAUUUCUCUUUUCAAAUCCCGAUAGCUUUCAACAUUGUGCCCCUGUGCAUUGGAAUGGUAUUCACUUUUUAGAAGGGUCAAAGCUUCUUGCACGUGGGUCCACAUGAUUUGGAGAAAUAGGUGCAAUCAUGUCAUAAUGCUUUAAUUUCUCAAACAAGCUUGCAUUAGGACUCUCCUAUUGGUGUAAAAUUAUCUUUCAACCUUUGUUCCCUUCUAUACCCCUGGCUUGGAUGCCGGUAAUAGGUCACUUGAAAAUUUUGUGGAGGCUGGUGGAGAUUUUGCGGUGCUGGUGCUUGCCUUCUAGUGUGUCUUUAUGGCUGGACAACAUACUGAGGUAGAGCAAUAAAGUAUUGUGGGUUCUGAGGUGGAUAGUAGUGCUCAAGGGAAUCAUCAAAAAAUAGACGAGGUUGGUCAUACCUUCGAGAUGUUCUCCUAGGACCUCUUCUCGAACCUGAUGCCAUCAUGAUUUCUUCAUCCAUCUCAUUCGUGUCACUAAAAUUAUCAGAUUUAACCUGGACAGAUUCAGUUGCCGCUUUAAGAACUGCUUGACUUAUAAUUUUGCCUGUCUUAAGACCAUUUUCCGAGAAGGAUUUGCCCACUGCGGACAUCAUGUUUUGAAAAUAAUCUAGCUCUUAAGCCUGAAGGAAGAUAGUGAUUAGUCGUGUUCAUCCAUGGGUGGCUUAACUCUGGCCGCUUGCUCCCUCUAUUUAAGGGUAUAUUCCCUGAAGCUUUCAGUUGGUUUCUUCUUCAGGUUUGAAAGGGAAUUGUGAUCUGGGCCGAUGUUGAUAUUGUAUUGGAACUAUUUGACAAAGGCCUAUGCCAUGUCAUCCCAGACAUACCAGCGAGAUGUGUCUUGAUCCAUAAACUAUUUGGAGGUUACUCCCGUAAGGCUUUCCCCAAAAUAAGCCAUCAGUAAUUCUUCCUUUCUUCUUUCACCUCUUAGUUAAUUGCAAUACCUUUUUAGGUAAGCUAUAGGGUCUCCAUGUCCGUCAUACUUUUCAAAUUUGGGAGUCUUGAAACCAGGUGGCAAGUGGACAUCGGGGAACAUACAUAGAUCCUUAAAGGCAAUACUCUUCUGACCUACCAACCCUUGCAUAUUUUUCAACUGUUGUUCUAAGUUUUUCACUCUUUGGGUCAUUUCUUCUUGUGCCAUCUUUCGGGCAGGCUUCUCAAUAUUUGCAGGAAGAUCAAAUCGGUACAAGUGGUACUCAGGAGAGUGGUACUAUUCUUGCUGGGUAGCAAAUUGUGACUCAUGACAAGGCUGUCUUGGCCAUUGGCCCAAGCUUGACACAUUUUGGUCAUUUGUUGUUUCAAUAUUCUAUUUUCCUCAACCAUAGUAGACUUUAUUGAACCCUCUGACCCUGAGUCUCUUGAGCGCUCGCAACAGCUUCAAUGUCAGUUAUCAUUUUUCCUUGGAUCUUCUUUUGUCCGCUUACCACAAACCAACCAACUCAAACUUUCUUCACAAUUCAAAAUAAAAGACACGUUAGAAUGGACUCAGUCGGUCCUUAUUAUCGUCAUCAUUGUUUUCUCUUUUUUCAUUUUUCAUUUCUUUAUUUUUUUAAUUAAUUAUUUUUUAAUGGUUAAUCGAACCUUGAUGUGGGUUGCAUACGUAUCCUGUGGGAACAUGAAUCGGAUCUUGUGUAGUUCGGGAAGAUCAUGAAUAAAGUAAAUAAUCUAACUCUUUUUUUUGGAUUUUGAUUUUUUAAUUCCAAAAGAGAGACUUAUAAAGAAGAAAGAAAAUAUUUUUGGAUUUCAAUUUUUUUUUUGAGGAUUUAUUUUAAAAAAAAAAGACUUCUAAAGAAUAAAGAAAAUAUAUACAUCUUUUUUUUUUAAUUUUGAUAAUUUCUUUUUUGAAAUUUCGAAAGAAUAACUUCUAAACAAGAAAGGAAAUAUUUUUGGAUUUUUGGAAUUUUAUGUUAAAAUUAUAAAAGAAAGACUUCUAAAGAAAAUAGUUUUGAAUCUUGAAUUUUCUUUUUCAAUUUUCGAAGAAAAACUUCUAAAGAAAAAGAGAAUAUUUUUUUUGAUUUUUAGAAGAAAUUAAAAGAAAAUAUUUUUAGAUUUUCUUUUUUUAAAUUGGGGUCUCAAAGAAAGAUGUUUUCAAAGAAGGAAGUAAAGGAAAAUAUUUUUGGAUUUUUAAAAAUUGGGGUAUCCAAGAGAGACUUUUCUAAAGAAGGAAGUAAAGAAAAAUAUUUUGGAAUUUUUGAAAAUUGUGGCCGGAACCGAUGAGGUUUGCCUACGUAUCUCACAUCCGAUGAGAAUCAGACCCGCGUAGUUCGUCCAUUUUUGACGGAACAUGGAAACAUGACUUUUGAAAACAUGGGUUUUUUUUCUCUUUUUUUUUUGAAUUUCAGGAGAGUUUUAGAGAUUUCAAAUACCUACCUCUCACUCUUGAUUUUCUUUUUUUCUUUUUCUUUGAUUUUCUUUUUCUCUCUUUUUUUUUUGCAUUUUCUUUCCCUAUUCUAGAAGCUAGUCAACAUGCCAGCCGAAAUAGACAGAUACGCAAGUAGCACGUAAGAUGCAUCAGGAUGGUCUUUUAAUUUGGUACACCUGUCCUAGACUGACCCAACCCUUGUGUUGAGUCCCCAAAGUCAAAUACAUGUGAUGCAAACAAGCAUUCCUACUAGGGAUCCGACAUGAGACUAUGUUAUUCUAGGUUUAAAACCUGGGUGUAUUGUUCUAGACCUGGCUUACCCGAACGGACAGCUCGAGCCGGGGGGGGGGGCAACAUACUGGGAAUACAGAAGCUUUACCGGCUUUGCAACUUGUCCAAACCUCGUUCUAAAAUUGGGAUAUGACUCUAAUAGAAAAGAAGUCACAUGAAGUGCACACUUUCCAGAUGAUUUAGAAGACUCAGUGAGAAAAGGGUUUUGUAGAAGUUUAUAUACAGUUGACUCAAUAUCAAAGCGGUAAAAAGUGACAUUUAGCACAUCAUGCUCAAUACACGUAAAAAUCAAAUAAUAAACAAAAGUCAACUAUAACAGUUAUUCUAAGUUGGAAUUUUGAACCCUGAACCAAAGAUUAUGGGUUCUUUUCCCCAGCAGAGUCGCCAGAGUUGUCACACCUCCUAUUUACCACCCUAAGGCAGAUAUAAGGGAGUUUUUCCAAUUAAAGUGACAUAAAUCGAAAUGAGAUUAUUUUAUUUAUCUUUCAGAGUCGUCACUUGGAAUAGUUUAUUUGGUGUCCUAAGUCACCGAUUUAUUUUAAAAUCCCAAAAUGAGGAAAGUUCGACUUUAUUUUUGGUCCAGGAACACAGAAGACCAGGUAAGGAAUUGUGUUAACCCGAGAGAAGGUGUUAGGCACUCCCGAGUUCCAUGGUUUUAGCACGGUCGCUUAACUACUAAUAAUUGGCUUAAUUACCUGAUUUAUUACAUGUUUUAAACAUAUUGUGCAUUUUAACUUUAUAACCGCUUUUAUUUAUUAAUGAAAUGGUUUCUAGAACAAGUCACGAUGUCGUGCACUCGUUGUUUUUGGUACACAUUGCAAACCGCGUCACAUGAAAUGCACCCGCGAUUUACAACAUGUUCAUUGCAAACCGCGUCACAUGAAGUUGUGGUCGGCUCACAUGAAAUGCACUCUAGAAUGGGAUUUACGUACCGUGACCAUGCUACGGGAACCAGACCAACGGUCACGAUAAUUUAUUAAUCGCACAAACUACGAUAUUUAAUAUUGAAUAUUGUUGUAAGGCCAUGCUUUAUGCAUAACAUUUUAUUGGGGAGUAAAUAGGAUGGUUAACAGGAUCUAUUUUGUCCCAAAUCAAUAGGAGACUCAACUUAGAGUAAUUAAGUUUAGAGACCAAGCGUACGGGCCAAGUGAGCAUUCUUUAUCAUACUAUCAUUUGCCUAUUCCAAAACUAUACAUAUCUCAAAGAAUUAUUGAGGCCAAAUGAAUAUGAUACAAUAAAAGGUCCAAAACAACAAAUAUCUACAAGAAAAGCUAAGGAAGAAAACUGGCACCACAAAUAAUUAAAGAAAACAUCUAAGACAUAUUUGAUAUGAAAAUAAUUGACAAUGAAAUGGACCUCUCAUGGCUUUAUAUGUAACAAAACAAACAACACACAUUUGGAGGCAUUUAAUGAGCUGAAAGCAUUUGAUAUUGUUUAACAAGCUAACAAAGAGCAAGGAGUGACGAGAAAAUGGGCCUCUGCGAACUUAGAAGUUCUUUUAAAAAAUGAAGCUUGAUAACGGAAAUUCAAACAAUAAACUUGUCGAAGACCUCGACUGACUGAGCUUAACUUAAGAGAACAACAACAGUUAAAGAAGCUGAAGUUGCUAUGUUCUAUAGCGAAAGAGAGCUGGACGAAGAUGGUGAAACUCCGGAGAAAUGCCGGCAAGGCAGUGAACUAGUGGAAAUGCAUUUACAUGUCUUCAGAACUGAUUUUAGGAGUGGGAUGGAGAAGCCACAACUGUUGCAUUUUUUCAGAUCUGCUGCUGCAUUUUCUGCUGUGUUUGGAGAGCUUUGGGAGGUGAUUUUGCUAGGUUUUGGAGCUGUUUCAUGGUUGAUUUUCGUAGCUUUUGGGAUUGAAAUUUGGGCCAUAAUGGGGUGUUUAUGGUUGAUAUUUGAAUGAAGAAGGAGGCUCUAUAUAUUUUUUGUAUCCCCCCGUCUUUUUUCUCUAUCCCCUUUCCAGUUUUUCCCUCUAUUUUUGUGUCUCCCUUUUUCGUUUUUCCCUUUAUUUAUCUUUUUCUGUGUGUAUGUUUUAUAACUAUUUGUGAGUGUGUGUAUUUAUGUAUAUGGAUAAGAAUUAUUCUUGUGAGGAUCAUGCCAAAAGUGAGCUGUGACAGGGCUCAAGAAUCCUAUGUGUAAGUGUGUGAAUUGAUGGUGAGGCACGUGAGAGUGUAUGCAGGUGGUGAGUGUCAAUGUAAUGCAUGUGAAGGAAUAAUAAAAACAGUAGGUCCUCUUGAAAUUCCCUGAAAAGUGCCUAGAGUAUGAGUGAAAUAUGUGAAAAUAAUAGAAAAUCUAGUGAAUUAAAGUGCACGCUGUGUGCAAUUUGUGAUAUAGUGACAUGAGUGAACGUAUGGAUACAGGAGUUUGUUAUUUUGGAUAACAAAGAAUAUUUUCAUGUGCCCGUUCCCUUUAUUUUCCUUGUUGAUUUUUUUAGAGGG